rnacentral:rRNA from 1 species
GACGAACGCUGGCGGCGUGCUUAACACAUGCAAGUCGAACGGUAAGGCCCUUCGGGGUACACGAGUGGCGAACGGGUGAGUAACACGUGGGUGAUCUGCCCUGCACUUCGGGAUAAGCCUGGGAAACUGGGUCUAAUACCGGAUAGGACCACUGCCUGCAUGGGUGGUGGUGGAAAGCUUUUGCGGUGUGGGAUGGGCCCGCGGCCUAUCAGGUUGGUGGUGGGGUGAUGGGCUACCAAGGCGACGACGGGUAGCCGGCAUGAGAGGGUGACCGGCCACACUGGGACUGAGAUACGGCCCAGACUCCUACGGGAGGCAGCAGUGGGGAAUAUUGCACAAUGGGCGCAAGCCUGAUGCAGCGACGCCGCGUGAGGGAUGACGGCCUUCGGGUUGUAAACCUCUUUCAGCACCGACGAAGCGCGAGUGACGGUAGGUGCAGAAGAAGGACCGGCCAACUACGUGCCAGCCGCCGCAGUAA